GGUUUGAUGGUGUAACUGGUUAUUGCAUCUCUGUACAUUAGUUUGAGAAGCUCCCCGGUUCGAGCCCGGGUCAAAUCA